CCACGGGUUAGGCAAACCUGGUGAAAGCCGGGGACGCUAAAGCUAUGGGUCUAACGCAAUAUUAUUGCUAUGAUUGCCAGGCUAUAACG
rnacentral:ncRNA from 1 species